rnacentral:rRNA from 1 species
AUUGAACGCUGGCGGCAGGCCUAACACAUGCAAGUCGAGCGGGGUUUUCGGACCUAGCGGCGGACGGGUGAGUAAUGCGUAGGAAGCUACCCGAUAGAGGGGGAUACCAGUUGGAAACGACUGUUAAUACCGCAUAAUGUCUACGGACCAAAGUGUGGGACCUUCGGGCCACAUGCUAUCGGAUGUGCCUACGUGGGAUUAGCUAGUUGGUGAGGUAAUGGCUCACCAAGGCGACGAUCCCUAGCUGGUUUGAGAGGAUGAUCAGCCACACUGGAACGGAGACACGGUCCAGACUCCUACGGGAGGCAGCAGUGGGGAAUAUUGGACAAUGGGCGCAAGCCUGAUCCAGCCAUGCCGCGUGUGUGAAGAAGGCCUUCGGGUUGUAAAGCACUUUCAGUAAGGAGGAAGCGUUGAGUGUUAAUAGUACUCAGCGUUGACGUUACUUACAGAAGAAGCACCGGCUAACUCUGUGCCAGCCGCCGCUGUAAGAC